CAGUAGCCGCGGUAAUACGUAGGGUGCAAGCGUUAAUCGGAAUUACUGGGCGUAAAGCGUGCGCAGGCGGUUAUAUAAGACAGAUGUGAAAUCCCCGGGCUCAACCUGGGAACUGCAUUUGUGACUGUAUAGCUAGAGUACGGCAGAGGGGGAUGGAAUUCCGCGUGUAGCAGUGAAAUGCGUAGAUAUGCGGAGGAACACCGAUGGCGAAGGCAAUCCCCUGGGCCUGUACUGUCGCUCAUGCACGAAAGCGUGGGGAGCAAACAGGAUUAGAUACCCGGGUAGUCCCUGUCUCUUAUAC
rnacentral:rRNA from 1 species